GUCUCGAGUAGGAAGCCCUUCCUCCCAUCACUUGGCAGCGCCGCCGAAGACUUCUUCCCAGCGAGCACUGACCCAGCAGCUUUCUUCCCAGCAGCGCCGAAGCCGAAGCCUUCUUCCCAGCGAGCACCGACCCAGCAGCGUUCUUCCCAGCAGCGCCGAAGCCUUCUUCCCACCGAGCCACCUAGCACAGAACCACCCAGCAAUGUUUUCGGCCACCCACAACACAGCACAGCACCGACUACCAAGCCACCCAACCACCGAUUCAAGUGAGACAUGGAGCCCGAGCCUCUGAGUCAGAGUUGAGCUAGGCAUCACAUGCGCUUAUGUUAGAGUAUGGAUAUCUGGAGUUGAUUGAGUGCUUCUCAGUGUCGUUUUUCAUCACAGCAGUGUUUCUGGGUUCUCCCACUCAGCGCCACGAUCAUCAGUUCAACCCACUCCCAGCACCUCCGAGUCUCCCAGUCAGAUUUGAAGGUUUUUUUUAUGACAGUUCCAUUGAUGGAGUUAUCAAGGAGAGCUUUACGGAAUAGUUUGUCUUGUUUGUUACACUUGUAGCUUUGGUUAUGAUGAACUAGGAAAGAAUAUGCAUGAAUAUGAAUAUUUUGAUAAGAAUGGAAUAGUUUGUCAUGUUUAUUAUAUAACACUUGUAGCUUUGGUUAUGAUGUACUAGGAAAGAAUAUGCAUGAAUAUGAAUAUCUUGAUAAGAAUGGGAUGGACUGUCAAUUCUUUGAAUCCGUGACUGAUUCCUUAUUUUAAACCCAGUGACUUUGAGAUCAUGCGAAAAAAACUCUAAAGGUGGCUUCAAGACUUUCCUUUUGUUGAAAAUUAUAGUUGCAUUAGUAAAAUGAUCACAAUUCACAAACAGGUAGAAAAGGAUGAAGAGGCAACAUUUUUAAAAACCGAACAAACCAAAUCGAACCAAACCGAUUUUAAUUGGUUUGGUUUGGUUCAGAUGGCCUCAAUAAAAAAAUCGAACCAAACCGAACCGCAGUUUAAUUAAACGAUUGGAUCGGAUGACUUUUCUCUCAAAAAUCGAACCAAACUGCACCGCGAACACUCCUACCAAU